UAUUAUGCCUUGGUCUUUGCUUCGAUGGAUCCUGCCUAUAAUUGAAAUUGUUACUUUUACUGCUGUCCAUAUAUAUUUCUUCUGCAAGUAGCCACAGGGUAUAUCUACUGUGUUAUUUGGUGAAGAAGGUUGGGGUGCAAAGACUGUCAAACAGACAUGAUGGGUGCUCCAAAUUAAAUCUCAAGGCCCAGCAGUAGCUAUAUCUUGUUGUACUGAUCAAUUAGAGCAAUAUGAGAGCAGCAGGAAAUACAGAACACAUAUUAAACUAUAAUUUUAAGAUGACUGAGGCUAUUGAACCAUGGAUACCAUUUAUUCAGUUCCAGAGUGUCUCCAUCUAUACCACAGGAUCCCAUCUGAGAACCUUUACCUUCCAUGAUGAGCCAUCUCCAUAUCAGGAAUCUGCUGACUCGCUCAGACCUCAAGCAAUGAGCAACAUCUACUCUGUAAAAGCUUAUUCUGUUCAUAUGGAAGAGACACAUUAAAAAUUCAAGCUUUUAUCAUGCUAACCUACAUUUGCUUAUAAACAUCAGUUCAUAGUUGGAUUACUGACUUUCAUCAAGUUAUUUAAGUAACAAUGCAUUCCUCAAUUCCAAACCAAUUAUUAGAAAUCAAUAUAAAACUUUUACAUAAGUGGUACAUGCUUUUAGUAGGACUUGAAAAUGAUAUCUGUUAAUUGCAUUUUAAAUAUUUAGAUUUAUUAAUGUCGCAGUACAUAAAAGUGUGGCUAUA